rnacentral:rRNA from 1 species
CAGUCGCCGCGGGAAUACGUAGGGGGCGAGCGUUGUCCGAAGUUACUGGGCGUAAAGAGCGCGUAGGCUGGUCUUUAAGUGAGUGGUGAAAGGUUCGGGCUCAACCCGGACACUGCCUUUCAUACUGGGGACCUUGAGUGUGGGAGAGGCGAGUGGAAUGGUCGGUGUAGCGGUGAAAUGCGUAGAUAUCGAUCGGAACACCCAUGGCGAAGGCAGCUCGCUGCCUAACACUGACGCUGAGGCGCGAAAGCGUGGGGAGCAAACAGGGUUAGAUACCCCGGUAGUCCCUGUCUCUUAUACA